rnacentral:tRNA from 1 species
UGGAGGUUAGCUCAGAAAGGUAGAGCAAGCGGCUGAUAACCGCUAGGUCAAUGGUGCAAUUCCAUUACCUCCAACCA